AGGAACUUAAGUUAACGAAACUAGAAGUCUUCAAAACUUCCAAUAAGGCUUAAACCUUAGUCCCUG
rnacentral:tRNA from 1 species